rnacentral:rRNA from 1 species
UGCGUAGGUGGCGUUAUAAGUCAGAAGUGAAAGCCUGCAGCUUAACUGUGGAAUUGCUUUUGAUACUGUAAUGCUUGAAUCAGGUUGAGGUUAGCGGAAUGUGACAUGUAGCGGUGAAAUGCUUAGAUAUGUCAUAGAACACCAAUUGCGAAGGCAGCUGACUAGACCUGUAUUGACACUGAGGCACGAAAGCGUGGGGAGCGAACAGGAUUAGAUACCCUGGUAGUCC